rnacentral:rRNA from 1 species
CCUACGGGAGGCAGCAGUGAGGAAUAUUGGUCAAUGGGCGGGAGCCUGAACCAGCCAAGCCGCGUGAGGGAAGAAGGUACAGCGUAUCGUAAACCUCUUUUGUCAGGGAACAAAGGCGGGGACUAGUCCCCGGAUGAGGGUACCUGAAGAAAAAGCAUCGGCUAACUCCGUGCCAGCAGCCGCGGUAAUACGUAGGUGGCAAGCGUUAUCCGGAAUUACUGGGUGUAAAGGGUGUGUAGGCGGGUUUGUAAUU